UACGUAGGGGGCAGGCGUUAUCCGGAUUUACUGGGUGUAAAGGGAGCGUAGACGGCAGAGCAAGUCUGAAGUGAAAGCCCGCGGCCCAACUGCGGGACUGCUUUGGAAACUGCCCGGCUAGAGUGCUGGAGAGGUAAGCGGAACUCCUAGUGUAGCGGUGAAAUGCGUAGAUAUUAGGAGGAACACCAGUGGCGAAGGCGGCUUACUGGACAGUAACUGACGUUGAGGCUCGAAAGCGUGGGGAGCAAACAGG
rnacentral:rRNA from 1 species